rnacentral:lncRNA from 1 species
CCAUAACUCAAGGAGUUUUACCGGUUUUCUUAUGGAGUACUCUAUUUUGUAAAAAACACUUUGUAAGCAAGGCUUCUCUUCAAAGUUUAUUGGGUGCAUUAGAACUAAUAAGCAUAGCAUUCAUCAUUUACUUAAGGGUUCUAUUUUUUUCUCUCAGCUACUCCAUUAGACUCGGGUGAAUAUGGUAGGGUCACUUAAUGGAUAAUCCCUUCUUUAACACAAUAUUCAUUAAACAGUACAUACUCACCAC